ensembl:lncRNA
CCUGACCCGUAUCUACAGCGACACAACUGGCCUGGUUCCCUAGCUGGUGGGAGGCAGGGCCGCUGAUACUCACUUGCUUUGCUCAGAACCUGCCCUGAAGGAGGGGCUGAGCCCAGGGAGUGGGCAUCAGAGAUGCACUGGGCAGGGACCAGAUGCCACAGGCUUACACUCAUGUUCAUAAAACGUGCCACACAGCAGUUCUAAAGUCAUCACUGUGAUGUAACAGUGCUUCCUCCUCAGCGAUUCCUCCAGUGACCAGGCUUGCUCACUGAUGACCACUUCCAAGACAGUAAGUUCCACAAGGUGAUGGGUCCUCUCUCGUCCAUUACUCUGGCCCUGGGGCCCAGCACAGACCUUGGCACAUGGUGGAGUUGGGUUGUGAGCAACAAGGAGCCAUUAGCUGUGUCUGGAGAAGUCAGCUAUUUUUACCUACUGGAGUGAAAAACAGUUUUCUCUCUUGAUAUCUGUAUGUGAUAUUUUGUGAAAAAAAUAAAAUCACUUCUUUUAAUCAUUUGCCUAAAGCCAAA